UCCCUGAUGCCGUAGAUGGUAAAGGUUCUGCCUGCAACGCUGGAGACCCAGGCUUGAUCCCUGGGUAGGGAA
rnacentral:tRNA from 1 species